GGCCCAUCCAGGCCCGCCCACAGCUCCGCGCCAUGGUUUCGUUUCUGUUUCUGUUCCUGUCAAAAUUUAGUUUUUUGGUUUUGGAUGUUUCAUUUUUAAUUUUAUGAAAGCUUCAAGUGCAGUUAAUUGUUUGUACGUGUAUACAGACGACGGCUGUGUUGAAGCUCUUUUAUUUGCCGUCAAAUAAAGUACAGUAAGAGCUCUGACGACACUGGAGUUCAAAGAAAGUGAAACUAACUUAAACAACAAUUGCAACGAUCAACCAAAACAACAGAAUAUUUAUUGAGCUGUUCUAAGAUCCGUGUGAUCACAUCUUAUACUCACAGGGAAAAGCAAUGGCAGAAUCUUCACCAUCAAACAAACCAAGAAAAACCAGGAGGACGAGUAUAAAUGAAACUCCAUUAAUGUCAUCCUCCAGUGGUUCACUGUCUGAGGAGCUUCAGUGCUCUGUGUGUCUGAAAGUGUUCACUGAUCCAGUCUCGACUCCAUGUGGACUCAACUUCUGCAAGAUCUUUCUGAAUAAGUGCUGGGACAACAGCCAGAUCUACAGCUGUCCAUACUGUAAAGAAACAUUCAAGCAAAGACCUGAUCUCAAGAUUAAUACCACACUCCGAGAGAUUGCUGAUCCUUAUAAAAAGAAACCUCCUGAGAAAACAACUGAAGUUGUGUGUGACAUCUGUGAGGAAAGAAAGCUGAAAGCGCUGAAGUCGUGUCUGGUGUGUCAGAGCUCUUACUGUGAAACUCACCUGGAGCCUCAUUUGAGAGUGACACGUUUGAAGAAACACAAACUGAUGGAUCCUGUAAGUAAUCUGGAGGACUAUAUAUGUCAGAAACACGAGAGACCUCUGGAGCUGUUCUGUAGAGAUGAUCAGACCAUCGUCUGUCUGUCCUGUACUGAUGGAGAUCACAAGAACCACAACACUGUGUCUUUAGAAGAGACCGAGUUGAUGAUCCAAGACACACAGCAGAUGAUCCAGGACAGAAUCAAGAAGAUUCAAGACAUCAAACACUCAGCAGAAGUCAGACAUAGAAGCACACAGAAGGAUAAAACAGCUUGUAUCGAGCUCUUCACUGAUCUCCUCCGCUCCAUUGAGAGACAUCAGACUGAACAGCUGGAGAUGAUGGAGGAGAAGCAGAAAGCAGCAGAGAAACAGAAGAAAGAGCUGAUUGAAGAGCUGGAGCAGGAGAUCACUGAGCUAAAGACGAGAAACAUUAAACUGCAGCAGCUUUCACAGACUGAAGAUGUCAUACAGAUUUACUCAUCUCUGAACAGCCUCAGAAACAGCAGGAACUGGUCUGAGAUCAGUGUGAAGACUCGUGAGACUCUGGAGAGUCUGAUGAGAGAUCUGACUCAACUGAAGAACACUAUUGAUGAGAAACUUGAUCAAACAAAGCUGAAGUGGAUGCAGCAGUAUGCAGUGGAUGUGACUCUGGAUCCUGAUACAGCUCAUCCAUAUCUCAUUCUGUCUGAUGAUGGAAAACAAGUGAGACAUGGAGACAUUAGACAGAAACUCCCAGACAAACCAGAGAGAUUUGAUUACUGUGUCUGUGUCCUGGGAAAGGAGGGAUUCUCCUCAGGGAGAUUUUAUUUUGAGGUGCAGGUGAAGGGUAAGAAUAAUUGGGAUUUAGGAGUGGUCAGAGAAUCCAUUAACAGGAAGGGACACAUCACACUGAGACCCAGUGAUGGACACUGGACUGUGGUUCUGAGGAAUGGAGAUGAAUAUAAAGCCUUUGCUGGUCCUCCUGUCCCUCUGUCUCUGAGAGUGAAGCCGCAGCGGGUCGGUGUGUUUGUGGAUUAUGAGGAGGGUCUGGUCUCCUUUUAUGAUGCAGAGUCCAGAUCUCAUAUCUACUCUUUCACUGCUCAGUCUUUCACUGGGAAACUCUAUCCAUAUUUUAGCCCAAACCCUAAUGAUGGAGGUAAAAACUCAGAGCCACUGAUCAUCACAGCUGUCAUGAAGGAACAUUAAUUUAUACAUGAAAUAGGAUCACAGUGAUUUUUAAUUAUUAUUUCAAAUCUGAUAAUGUAUGUGGUGCUACUCAAGUGAUGAAAGUUUUUUUCAUCACAUAUUUUGUUGGAUCGAUCCUCACAGGCCAGAGCUUUCCCUCUCCAAGUGAACCAAUGAGCCGCCCAUGACCCUGGGAACACCCAACAAGAGCUGCGCGGUUUUGGAGAUGUCUCUGACCCAGUCGUCUAGUCAUCACAAUUUGUCCCUUGUUAAACUCGCUCAAAUCAUUUAUGAUAAUUCAGCCGAUUAUGGACCAUAGGGGCUAGAGAGAGUAAAGGGUGCUUGUCUCCAAAAAUUGGAUUGAUGAGGGUCAUAAAAGACAUCUGUUUUGCACACCUGUUUGGACCAGAUACGUUCGAGUCCAAGCUUGUAGCAUUACAAUUUAAAAAGGUGUUAGAGUUUGUUACCAGUUAGAAAAGAAAACAAGGUCACAGAGUUUAUAGCAUUUGUACCUUACCUCAAACUAAAACAAAAAAGAAGGAAACGAAAAGCAAUUUUGCAAACCAGGAAAGUUAGCGUUUGUCACGCCAGGUGAAAAGUUAAAACAAAAGAAAAAAAGAGGCAUGCAUUUACGCUGAUCUCAAAGAAAAUACAUCAGACGCCGUCGUUAAAACACCAGCACAAGAUAUUUGUCAAAACUAUGUUGUACUCUACCACUAACUACAAUUUUCAAAAUCUGGACUUUGUUACUGACAGAGAAUUAAACAAAAGAAAAAAGAUAUCCCCGCAGAGAUUAACUGACGGAUCACCUCACGAGUCACGAGAAUGCGCGCUCCGGUCCCACUCAAACCACUUCUUCUUCUUCUUUGACGCAAAGCUUUAGGCGCAUUUACCGCCACCUACUGGGAUGGAGUGUUGACGUUAAUGAAAACUAACUCAAAAAUAAAAUAAAUAAUAAUAAAACUUAGUAUUAAUUCUUUAAAUCCUGUUAAUUAACUCUGUAUAUUUGAGAUACUUAAUCUGUGAAACAAUUCUAUAGUCACAUCUUUAUUUACCAAUUUCUAAAAUGAGAUCUGAUUUAUUUCUAUAAUAUGUGCUUCUGUAAAUUGUAAUCUUUUUUUGUCGUAUCCUGUCCAUUUUAUUAAAAUAGGUUCAACUGUUUCAGGAAGAUCACAUUUAACACUAAGUCUAGACACAUGUAUCCCUCUUAUAAAUAAUGGCUGAUUAAGUGCAAUGUGUCCAAUUCUAUGGCGAGAUAUUAUGCGGUCUUCCUUUCUAUCCCCCAAAAUCUCCUUUCAUUUCCAACUGUUCUUUGAAUAUUAUAUAAAUGCCAUCCUUUAUUCUCACCACCCCCAUUUAAUUUGUCACGUAUCUUUUUAUGUUUAUUAUUUUUUUUUUUUAAUUAGCCCUUUUAUUUCUAAUUUACUCAUUGGAGCAUUAAACUGUAUGUCUGGACAUUUGAAUGUUCCACCACUUCAUUACUUUCUAUUCCUAUAUGUGCAGGUAUCCAUACAAAAUAAAUAUUUGUUUUUGUUUGUAUUCUGAACAAACUCUGUAAUAUGUCUGAGAAAAUGUCUCGUUGAAGAUUCGCCACUCUUUAAACUUUAUAGUGCAGAAAAUAAGUUUCAACACAUAUGACUACUUCAGGUAUAUUAAUGUCCCAAAAUAAGCCCACUGAAGAGCCAAAAAUAUGGCAAUCAUUUCCGUAGUAUAAACUGACAGAUGAUUAGAUGUUAUUUUAGCUAAUCUAUACCUAACCCUUGGAACAUAUAUAGCUGCUGAUGCUGUGUGUCCUGUCUCAGGAUCUUUACAUCUGUAUAUAUGUGAGUUACUUUAAAACUAGGUUAGCCUAUACGAAUUUAAUUUUUUCGUCCAAACAAAAGUCCUUU